GACUAAUUUUCUGUAGCUCUCAGGUGAACUAUGUAGGAUACCUGCUAUGUACCUUCAAAUUAAAAAAUAAUAGUAUUAAUAACAACAAAAGAGAGGGCAAAAAUAGUUGGCAAAAAGGAGAAUUGUAAAAAAUCAUAAAAACAAGGGGCAGAAGGAUUGGGUAAAGAGAUUUGAAUCUUCAAGUUAUGGGAGCAAUCUUAUCAUCAGUAUAUGAAAAAACAAUUUUUAAACAAAACUUUCAUUAUUCUUUUCACUAUAUUGAGGCCAAAAACUUCAUGUUUACACACACUUCAAAGAAGAGGACAAUGAUGUACGUCCUAAUAAAACCAUUACUACUGGUUAGUAAAUUUGAGGCCGAGGCAGGCAGAUCACGAGGUCAGGAGUUUGAGACCAGCCUGGCCAAUAUGGUGACACCGUGUCUCUAUUAAAAAUACAAAAAUUAGCCGGGAGUGGUGGUGUGUGCCUGUAGUGCCAGCUACUCUGGAGGCUAAGGCAGAAGAAUCGCUUGAACCCAGGAGGCAGAGGUUGCAAGUGAGCCGAGAUCGCGCCACUGCACUCCAGCCUGGGC
rnacentral:lncRNA from 1 species